AUGAUAUUCGUGUCGCGGACACGAAUGAUUCCUCAUCCUGUGCUGCUGUUUAAAGUGACCAGACUGCUGGACGAUGAAUCAGGUGAAGAGGCCCUCACACGCACAUUGAACGAGGGGCCCAAGACAUAUCUACAGAACAGAAUAUGACAGACACGGGGCCCUGGACAGACACUGUAUCAUUUCAGGCUCUUGGGCUCUUUUGAACAGUAAACCACCACCCACUCAGAGAACGCCAGCAAAGGUACUAAAAUCUACCAGAACAUUGCUAAUGCUUUUUUCUACUAAAAUUAAAGAACAAGUGUUUUGUCUCAUUUGUUGGAUAUCACCCCGUCUCUCAUGUUUGGUUCCCUGAUCCUCAAGUGGAGUUACAGAGCUGGAAGUGGAGCAGGAGUGGAUCUCUUCAGCAGUCCACAGUCUACUUGUGUCUGAUAUUUACCAUUAUCAGUGGAAACUUAAGGUGAGAUUUUCUAUCUGAUCAUCAUCNAAAGGUGCUGCAGAUGACAACCUUUGUAUCUUUUUUUCUGGGAGUGUAGUACUGCUUAACCACAGGAUCACUGUAUGAGAUCAUUAUGCACACAAAGCAUAUAAUAUUUUAAAUUUUCAUGGUAAUGUCACUGUUUGAUUUAAGACAUUUUUUGUUAAACAUCAGCACUUAUGAGUUUAGUAUUUGACAUGCUGAUCAAACACACUGACACCUCAGACACACUCACACAUACACUAUUGAAACCUCAGACACACACACUAGCACUGAUACACACUGAAACAGACACUAUUGACACCUCAGACACACACUUACACUGAUACACACUCACACAGACACUAUUGACACCUCAGACACACACUUAGACUGAUACACACUCACACAGACAUUAUUGACACCUCAGACACACACUUACACUGAUACACACUCACACAGACAUUAUUGACACCUCAGACACACACUUACACUGAUACACACUCACACAGACAUUAUUGACACCUCAGACACACACUUACACUGAUACACACUCACACAGACAUUAUUGACACCUCAGACACACACUUACACUGAUACACACUCACACAGACAUUAUUGACACCUCAGACACACACUUACACUGAUACACACUCACACAGACAUUAUUGACACCUCAGACACACACUUACACUGAUACACACUCACACAGACAUUAUUGACACCUCAGACACACACUUACACUGAUACACACUCACACAGACAUUAUUGACACCUCAGACACACACUUACACUGAUACACACUCACACAGACAUUAUUGACACCUCAGACACACACUUACACUGAUACACACUCACACAGACAUUAUUGACACCUCAGACACACACUUACACUGAUACACACUCACACAGACAUUAUUGACACCUCAGACACACACUUACACUGAUACACACUCACACAGACAUUAUUGACACCUCAGACACACACUUACACUGAUACACACUCACACAGACAUUAUUGACACCUCAGACACACACUUACACUGAUACACACUCACACAGACAUUAUUGACACCUCAGACACACACUUACACUGAUACACACUCACACAGACAUUAUUGACACCUCAGACACACACUUACACUGAUACACACUCACACAGACAUUAUUGACACCUCAGACACACACUUACACUGAUACACACUCACACAGACAUUAUUGACACCUCAGACACACACUUACACUGAUACACACUCACACAGACAUUAUUGACACCUCAGACACACACUUACACUGAUACACACUCACACAGACAUUAUUUAGACACCUCAGACACACACUAACAAACUGACAUCCAGCAGUAGACACUUUCUCAUACACAAGUUUUUCUGCCACACAGAUCAAACCACAUUUCUGUAUAGAUAUAAUUACAUGAGACCACAGCAGAGUUUACUUUGUCACUUUUUAACGACUAGUUUGCAUCUAAGUUUUGCAAAUGCUGCAACCAUAGACUUAGAGUCUGAGGUCGUUGCAGGAGGUUGAUAUGACUAUAAGGGUCUUGUACUUAAAACACUAAAGUAUGAUCAUCUUCUGACUGUGACUGGUGCAUAUUCCACACGAUCCUCCUCUUCAACUUUCUGUAAAAAAAAAAAAAUGCAUAAGAUAUAACAAUAAUAAGAAUAAAUGUGACGUUACUACAAAACA
ensembl:lncRNA